rnacentral:rRNA from 1 species
AGAGUUUGAUCAUGGCUCAGGAUGAACGCUAGCUACAGGCUUAACACAUGCAAGUCGAGGGGAAACGACAUCGAAAGCUUGCUUUUGAUGGGCGUCGACCGGCGCACGGGUGAGUAACGCGUAUCCAACCUGCCCACCACUUGGGGAUAACCUUGCGAAAGUAAGACUAAUACCCAAUGAUAUCUCUAGAAGACAUCUGAAAGAGAUUAAAGAUUUAUCGGUGAUGGAUGGGGAUGCGUCUGAUUAGCUUGUUGGCGGGGUAACGGGCCACCAAGGCGACGAUCAGUAGGGGUUCGUGAGAGGAAGGUCCCCCACAUUGGAACUGAGACACGGUCCAAACUCCUACGGAGGCA